CAGGGAUGCGUUGCGCCACGCGUGCAGCCCGGAGCGCGUCCCCCGCGGCGGCUGGAACAGCAGCCACGCACAGCUGCAGCAUCAGGAGAAAUGAGACCUUGGAUGAAGCUCCUGUCAGCAAUGAGUCUGAUCAAGCACGGUGUGCAUCUGACAGCCAGCUUGGCACCGCCUCGCAGCAGCUGGGCUUCAAUGGAUUUCACGUGCAAGUAGGCCUGAAAGUCAUAUUAAUUUUUAAUUGAAUGUUUAAGUUUCAGGUUUAGGAGGUCUUCUUAAGAGACGUCUCAGUAAUAUGUAUGCUGCUAUGAAUGAAGGGGUAGGUCUUAAGCUAUGUGUUGUUGGUAAGCAAACUAAAACUCUCUACUGAGAAUAAAAAUAUAUAUAUACAUGUGU